AGUGAACGCUGGCGGUAGGCCUAACACAUGCAAGUCGAACGGCAGCACAGUAAGAGCUUGCUCUUACGGGUGGCGAGUGGCGGACGGGUGAGGAAUACAUCGGAAUCUACUUUUUCGUGGGGGAUAACGUAGGGAAACUUACGCUAAUACCGCAUACGACCUACGGGUGAAAGCAGGGGAUCUUCGGACCUUGCGCGAUUGAAUGAGCCGAUGUCGGAUUAGCUAGUUGGCGGGGUAAAGGCCCACCAAGGCGACGAUCCGUAGCUGGUCUGAGAGGAUGAUCAGCCACACUGGAACUGAGACACGGUCCAGAGUCCUACGGGAGGCAGCAGUGGGGAAUAUUGGGCAAUGGGCGCAAGCCUGAUCCAGCCAUACCGCGUGGGUGAAGAAGGCCUUCGGGUUGUAAAGCCCUUUUGUUGGGAAAGAAAAGCAGCAGGUUAAUACCCCGCUGUUCUGACGGUACCCAAAGAAUAAGCACCGGCUAACUUCGUG
rnacentral:rRNA from 1 species